rnacentral:rRNA from 1 species
GACGAACGCUGGCGGCGUGCUUAACACAUGCAAGUCGAACGGAAAGGCCCUGCUUUUGUGGGGUUCUCGAUUGGCGAACGGGUGAGUAACACGUGUGUAACCUGCCCUUGACUUUGGUAUAACUUCAGGAAACUUGGUCUAAUACCGGAUAGGAGCUCCUGCUGCAUGGUGUGGGUUGGAAAGUUUCGGCGGUUGGGGAUGGACUCGCGGCUUAUCAGCUUGUUGGUGGGGUAGUGGCUUACCAAGGCUUUGACGGGUAGCCGGCAUGAGAGGGUGACCGGCCACAUUGGGACUGAGAUACGGACCAGAAUGCUACGGGAGGCAGCAGUGGGGAAUAUUGCACAAUGGGCGGAAGCCUGAUGCAGCAACGCCGCGUGCGGGAUGACGGCCUUCGGGUUGUAAACAGAUUUCGACUGUGACGAAGCGUGAGUGACGGUAAUGGGUAAAGAAGCACCGGCUAACUACGUG